rnacentral:tRNA from 1 species
GGAUUUAGCUCAGCGGUAGAGCGCUUGCCUAGCAAGCGCAAGGCCCUGGGUUCGGUCCCCAGAUCCG